UACUGCAGGAAAUUGGCUCCUACUACUAUCCCAGCAGCUAUUGAAGCCAGUUUGGCUUCAGGUCCUAGACAAAUGAUUUGUCAUCUGUUUCAUUUGUUUGUUUUUUUUCCUGACAGAGCUGGAAUUCUGGAUUGUUCCCCACUUUAAAAACUUCAAAAUCCAAACCAGAAGUAGACAGGACAGGACACGAGGCUCCCCCUUCCCACUUAGUUUCACAGAGUGAAAAAUCACAGGCAGUUUUCCCAGAAUUAUAUUUUAUGUCUGGCCUUUGAAUAGCAUAUUAAGGUAAAAAAAAAUUGUUGCUGUUGUUUUUCUAUAACAGAUAGGGCCUUAGAUAUUUGAGAGAGGAAAAGGAUUGGAAUCACUCUUAUCAAUAUAGGUAGGGCUCUAACAAAUAGCUUCUGAUACUCAUUUUUAGAGGAAAGAGAAGGACACUAAAAUUUAAGAGGUGUGCCUCUGAUAUGUGGUAAAUUGUUUAUAUCUCACUCAAUCCUCACACCUUAUCAGGUAGGUAUUAUUAGUUCUGUUUUAUCAGCUAGGGAACUGGGAAUCAAAAAGUGUGGUAAUUUACCCAAGGUAACAAUACUGGAAUUUGAACUCAGAUCUCCAAGAGUUGAAAUUUUAAGUAGCAUCGUUACUCACUCCCCUUAAAAUUAAUCAUUUAUCACUGAAAUAAAAACCCUUGCCUCCCAAAGUGGUUGAUGUUUACUUUCAGCUUAACUAAAAGAAUAGGAACAAGAUUUACCUUUUCAUCUGAAACAACUAAAAGACCUGACAAUACUGUAUGUAAUAAAACAAUAGUUUUCAGACACUAGUCAUGAAGCAGUGAAUGGCAACAAUCCUGAAAGAAGGAACACAAAUGAGUUGUGUUUUAUGAUUCCCCUAGCUGAUAUCUGGAGAGAGAUUCCAGAUUGCAGCCUAAGGAAAGAGAACUAAGAGAGAAACCAGAGAUUUCUCUGAGUUGAGGGAACAGAGGUGGGAGUCCAGAGAGGCUAAAGUCGAUGAAGUUCAUAAGGCAGAGUACAAAAGAGGAGAGAGCUGCACAGAAAAAAGGCUUGCAGAUCUCAAGAGCGUCCCCCUUGAGACAUAAGCUGAGUACUUCGGCAUGCAUGGGAAAAUUACCAAGGUUGGAGAAAGAACCACCCGAAAGGAGCAGAGGGAGCAAUCAUUGGAGUUCACGCAAGGAAGCGAGUAGUUUGUGUUCCUGCUAGCCAGAGUAGCACAAUUCAUUUUACAAAGGGUGCUGGAUAGAGUAGUCAGGAAAAUAGAGCCUCAUAGGGGAGCAAAAUUAACCCUAGACUAAAGGCUGGUCUCAUCUUACCUAUUGAAGCUUAAAAGCCUCAGUUUCCGGCUGGGCACAGUGGCUCAUGCCUGUAAUCCCAGCACUUUGGGAGGCUGAGGCAGGAGAUGGAGACCAUCCUGGCUAACAUGGUGAAACCCCGUCUCUACUAAAAAUACAAAAAAUUGGCCGGGCGUGGUGGCUAGGUGCCUGUAGUCCCAGCUACUCAGGAGGCUGAGGCUGAGGCAGGAG
rnacentral:lncRNA from 1 species